GACGAACGCUGGCGGCGUGCUUAACACAUGCAAGUCGAACGGAAAGGCCCUGCUUUUGUGGGGUGCUCGAGUGGCGAACGGGUGAGUAACACGUGAGUAACCUGCCCUUGACUUUGGGAUAACUUCAGGAAACUGGGGCUAUUACCGCAUAGGAGCUCUUGCUGCAUGGGGGGGGUUGGAAAGUUUCGGCGGUUGGGGAUGGACUCGCGGCGUAUCAGCUUGUUGGGGGGGUAGUGGCUUACCAAGGCUUUGACGGGUAGCCGGCCUGAGAGGGUGACCGGCCACAUUGGGACUGAGAUACGGCCCAGACUCCUACGGGAGGCAGCAGUGGGGAAUAUUGCACAAUGGGCGGAAGCCUGAUGCAGCAACGCCGCGUGCGGGAUGACGGCCUUCGGGUUGUAAACCGCUUUCGCCUGUGACGAAGCGUGAGUGACGGUAAUGGGUAAAGAAGCACCGGCUAACUACGUG
rnacentral:rRNA from 1 species